UGGAUCAGUGAUGACUGAGUGUGUUGUAUGAGUUGUGGAUCAUGACUACAGGUCUGGGAUUCUGAGGUUCAC
ensembl:snoRNA